AUGCGUCAUCGCGUUUGAUAACGUUUUGACAACUUUUGACAACGUUUUCUAGUAGCUUCUAGCAUUAUUAUAACUAUUUUGACUGUUUGCUUAGAGAUACCGCGAUUAUCGCGCAUUGAUGCGUUGCAUUAAAAGUAAAGUAAUGUUAAUAAAUAAAGUAUCAUCUAGUCAUCAUUGAUGGUUUCAAUCGCCAAAUAUCAAAAAUAUCUAGUAGAAUGUGCAAGUAUUAUAAAUGUUCAAUAUGCAUACUAUGACGUAAUAUCCGACGCAUAUCCGACGUAAGCAAAUGCUUGCAGUAUUAGCCAUUCUUUUAAUGAAAAUAAGGCAAAAAAAAAGGAAAAGUCAAAAGAAACGUGUUGUGGAUUAAUUCUCUAAUCCAAAAACGAAAUGAAUAUGGUUUUUAUCAUGCGUUAUUCCCAAUUUCAAAACUAUUUUCGCAUGUCAGCUAUGCCACUUGAGGCUUUAUAGAAAUUGUAGGGCCGCAUUUGCAGAGACUGUAUAUUGUACGCUAUAAGUCAAGCUGAACGACUAACUUUAACUUUGAGAUAUCUUGCAUCAGGAAAUUCAAUGACCUAUGAGUUUUCAAUAUUUAAUAGAUUUAAAUACUGAAUGAAAACGCAUCGCUCAGCAUUUUUAAUGAUUUGUGGGAUUUUCCACACUGUAUUGGGACAAUUGAUGGGAAACACGUUACAAUUCAGGAUUAAAUUUUUAUAAAAACAGCCACACUAUUGUUUUAUUUGCGAUGCGCAUUACAAUUUUCUCUUCGUGAAUAUUGGUGUGUGGAUAUGAUCGGCGCAGCGAUGGAGGCGUAUUUAAAGAGAGCGUCUUUGGAAAAAUAUGAAGCAAGCACAAUGAAAGUUCCCAAAGAAUGUAUUUCUGCUGGAGAACCAUUGCUGCUAUAUUAUCUUGUUGGAAAUGAUUAAACGUUUCCGUUUAAGCCAUACUUGCUCCGGCCAAACCCACGAUGGGGCAAAAAGACAUUGAAUGCAGAUCAACAUGUUUAUAAUUAUCGAUUAAGUGCCAGAAGGAUCAUCGAAAACGUCUUCGGAAUUCUAGCAAGUCAAUGAAGGAUCUACAAAAAGUCAAUUAUUGACCAAUUUGCCAGCGUAGACACAGCCAUGAUUAAAAGUACAAUUUGCUUGCAUAACUGGCUUCGUAAAGACUCCAAAAAUGACUUUUAUGUAACAUCAAACCUAUUGAAUAAAGAAACAGCAGAUAGUGUGCACCAGGUUCAUGGAGAACAAUAAUAUAGAAAAUAGAUGUGCUUUUACAGAUGUGUCCAAUUGUGGCACACAUAAUAGUACUCGAGAAGCUAUCAGAAUUAAAGAAUUUUUCUGCCAAUAUUUCAACAAUGCUGUACCAUGACAG